GUCUAUGGCCACACCACCCUGAAUGUGCCUGAUCUCGGAAGCUAAGCAGGGUUGGGCCUGGUUAGUACUUGGAUGAGACACUGCCUGGGAAUACUGGGUGCUGCAGGUU
rnacentral:rRNA from 1 species